rnacentral:pre_miRNA from 1 species
AUAACGUGGGGGUCUUGUUAAAAAGCAGAUUUUGGUGCCAGUAAAUCUGGUGCUCCACCUGAGAUUCUGCAUUUCUAACAAGUUCCCAGGUGAUGAGGA